rnacentral:rRNA from 1 species
GAUGAACGCUAGCGGCAGGCUUAAUACAUGCAAGUCGAGGGGCAGCAUGAAUGUAGCAAUACAUUUGAUGGCGACCGGCAAACGGGUGCGGAACACGUACACAACCUUCCUAUAAGUGGGGAAUAGCCCAGAGAAAUUUGGAUUAAUACCCCGUAACAUAAUGAUGUGGCAUCACAUUAUUAUUAUAGCUACGGCGCUUAUUGAUGGGUGUGCGGCUGAUUAGAUAGUUGGCGGGGUAACAGCCCACCAAGUCUACGAUCAGUAGCUGAUGUGAGAGCAUGUUCAGCCACACGGGCACUGAGACACGGGCCCGACUCCUACGGGAGGCAGCAGUAAGGAAUAUUGGAAAAUGGACGCAAGUCUGAUCCAGCCGUGCCGCGUGAAGGAUUAAGGUCCUCUGGAUUGUAAACUUAUUUUAUAAGGGACGAAAAAAGGUCUUUCUAGAUCGUCUGACGGUACCUUAUGAAUAAGCACCGGCUAACUCCGUGCCAGCAGCCGCCGUAAAAC